rnacentral:rRNA from 1 species
GCAGGCUGCAACUCGCCUGCAUGAAGUCGGAAUUGCUAGUAAUCGCGGAUCAGCAUGCCGCGGUGAAUACGUUCCCGGGUCUUGUACACACCGCCCGUCACACCACGAGAGUUUACAACACCCGAAGUCGGUGGGGUAACCCGCAAGGGGGCCAGCCGCCGAAGGUGGGGUAGAUGAUUGGGGUGAAGUCGUAACAAGGUAGCCGUAUCGGAAGGUGCGGCUGGAUCACCUCCUUUCUAUGGAGA